rnacentral:lncRNA from 1 species
GGGCAUGUACAUAUAUUUCAAAAUUUUUUUUUAAACAACAUAGCAGAAUAAAAAAUUAAAAUACCUUUUAAUCUUAAUCAUAUUUUUAUAAAAUAUAAAAUACUAGGAUCUACUUCAUAUACUGAAAUUGAAUACAUACUGAAUUUUAUACUAAAAUUGAAUAUGUGAUCGAAUCACAUACCUGUUUCAUAAUUUUUUUUUUCAAAUCUAGAUCUGGAAGAGAGUAGGUUCUCUCUUAGUCAUGUAACUG